GCCAGAGAAAAUAAAAAGAAAUAUUGGGCGGGUCUAGAUCCUGUCUACACCAUCUGAGAAGGCGCAUUCUCACGUAAGUCUACCAACCCUCCUUCUCCAGAAUGGGUUUGACAGGAUCCAUGCAUGGGGUAUACCAAAGCAAUGUAUGGGACAUACCAAAGCUUGGAACUGUCCUAAGGAAGGGACUCCAUCUGGAUUGAUGUCCUCUCCAAGUCCGUGUGAACUCAUUGCAAGACCCUCCUACCAAAUGAAGCCUCAGCGGAUACAAAGACAUCGAUUUUAUAAUUCCUAAUAAAUGGCGAGGGCGAAGCCCAGGUUGCCGCUCAACAAAUCUCCUCUAUUGUCGCUUGCGUGGCCCAUGCUGCUGAUGUUGCUGCACUCCUGGUGGAAUGAGCUGUUAUGCUUUUGGGUAUAGGUAGCUAGUAGGAAUCAUAUGACUUAGAGAUUGUGGCCCUCAACCACCUGCCAAUGGUGGAAGAGGAAACUUUGCGUCCGAGAGUGUUAGGCUGAAAGGACACAAAGAGGACCUCUGUUUUCCUAAAGGGUACCAUGUGAUCUAGGUAUAUGCGUAGAGCCCUUCUGACGUCCAGACGAUGCCAUUGGCAUUCGAGUCUGUGAGAUGGAACUGGACAAAAAUUUGGGAGCACCAGCUCUUGUGCUCUGUGAAAUGUCAAAUUGAUUUUUGGAGUAAAGGUUGGGUCUGGUCUAAGGAUAACUCUGUCUGAAUGAAUGAUACAGAGAUCCUUUCGCACAGAUAAGGCUGCCAGUUCGGAGAUUCUUCGUACUAAUGUAAUUACAAUUAAGAAGACAACUUUAUAAGUUAGAAAACGGAGGGUCGUGGUCCUUAGGGGUUUGAAAGGACUGGUAGUAAGUUCCGUUAACACCUUGUUGAGAUCCCAAGUCGGGUAAUGGUGUACUACAGGGGGCCGCAAGUUCCUAGCACCGCGGAGGAAACUGUGAAUGUGUGGAUGAUGGGAAAUGGAGGUGAGAUCCCCCCAAGAGAUGCCAAAGCUAGGGCCACCACUUGUCUCUGCAGGGGAUUUGGUGAUAGACCCUUGUUCAGGCCCUCCUGCAAAAAAUCCAAUAGUUGUGCUACAGAUGGAAAAGUGGGGUCAAUCUGAGACCUCAUAAACCAACGGCAGAAGAUGGACCAGGUGGCAUCAUAGAUACGGUUUGUCACAGGACGUCUAGCCACUUGUAUGGUGUGAAUGACCUGACUGGAAAUGUGUUAGCCUCUCAGACAUCACCGCUCAAUUUCUAUAUGGCUUGGUUGAGCCAUUGCGGGUCCGGAUGUAGACCUGGACCUUGAGACAGCUAGACGACCGACGAUGGGAUCCUCCACAGCGGUUCCAUUGACAGGUCCUCAGGUCUGCAAACCAUGUGCGCCGUGGCCAGUAAGGAGCCACUAACAACAAUUCUACCCUAUCCUCCACAAGCUUCUGGAUCAGUUUGGGAAUCACGGGGAGGGGUGGAAAUGCAUAUAGCAGUCCGGGAGGCCAGCAACAACGGAGGGCAUUGACAUCCUCUGCCCCCUGCAAUGGAUAUUGCGAAAUGAACCACAGUAGUUGGGCAUUGAGGGGGGAGGCAAACAGGUCCAUAACCAGUUGACCCAACCUCUGGACUGCCUCCUGAAAGAUCUUUGGAUCCAGGCGGCACUUGGAUUGGUCGAUCGUGGCCCUGCUGAGCCAGUCUGCCUGGACGUUUGCUAGUCCCGAUAUAUGUUCCGCUUUGAAGGAGAGGAGAUUGUGCUCGCCCACAGGAACAAUCUUUCUGCCUCUUUCAUUAAUUGACUGGAAUGAGU